CCUACGGGUGGCAGCAGUGGGGAAUAUUGGACAAUGGGCGAAAGCCUGAUCCAGCCAUGCCGCGUGUGUGAAGAAGGCCUUCGGGUUGUAAAGCACUUUCAGUGGGGAAGAAAGCCUUGGGGCUAAUACCCUCGAGGAAGGACAUCACCCACAGAAGAAGCACCGGCUAACUCCGUGCCAGCAGCCGCGGUAAUACGGAGGGUGCGAGCGUUAAUCGGAAUUACUGGGCGUAAAGCGCGCGUAGGCGGUCUGAUAAGCCGGUUGUGAAAGCCCCGGGCUCAACCUGGGAACGGCAUCCGGAACUGUCAGGCUAGAGUGCAGGAGAGGAAGGUAGAAUUCCCGGUGUAGCGGUGAAAUGCGUAGAGAUCGGGAGGAAUACCAGUGGCGAAGGCGGCCUUCUGGACUGACACUGACGCUGAGGUGCGAAAGCGUGGGUAGCAAACAGGAUUAGAUCCCCCAGUAGUC
rnacentral:rRNA from 1 species